GACGAGUCGAUUGAUUUAACGCGAGAUGCGUAAUAUUUAUGAGAUAGAGGACAUCCGCUUUUACUGGCAGGCGCGGGAAGCGCUGAUGGUGGGCUCACUGAUGUGAACAGUUAACUGCCCACA
rnacentral:sRNA from 19 species